GAUCAUGGCUCAGAUUGAACGCUGGCGGCAUGCCUUACACAUGCAAGUCGAACGGCAGCACGGGUGCUUGCACCUGGUGGCGAGUGGCGAACGGGUGAGUAAUAUAUCGGAACGUACCUUAUCGUGGGGGAUAACGCAGCGAAAGCUGCGCUAAUACCGCAUACGCCCUGAGGGGGAAAGCGGGGGACCGUAAGGCCUCGCGCGAUUAGAGCGGCCGAUAUCUGAUUAGCUUGUUGGUGGGGUAAAAGCCCACCAAGGCGACGAUCAGUAGCUGGUCUGAGAGGACGAUCAGCCACACUGGGACUGAGACACGGCCCAGACUCCUACGGGAGGCAGCAGUGGGGAAUUUUGGACAAUGGGCGCAAGCCUGAUCCAGCAAUGCCGCGUGCAGGAAGAAGGCCUUCGGGUUGUAAACUGCUUUUGUACGGAACGAAACGGUCUGGGUUAAUACCCUGGGCUAAUGACGGUACCGUAAGAAUAAGCACCGGCUAACUACGUG
rnacentral:rRNA from 1 species